rnacentral:rRNA from 1 species
UACGGAGGGUGCGAACGUUAAUCGGAAUCACUGGGCGUAAAGCGCGCGUAGGCGGUUCGUUAAGUGGGAUGUGGAAUCCCCGGGCUUAACCUGGGAAUUGCAUUUCAAACUGGCCGACUAGAGUACGGUAGAGGGAGGUAGAAUUUCCUGUGUAGCGGUGAAAUGCGUAGAUAUAGGAAGGAAUACCAGUGGCGAAGGCGGCCUCCUGGAUCGAUACUGACGCUGAGGCGCGAAAGCGUGGGGAGCAAACAGG